rnacentral:tRNA from 1 species
GCCGUGGUGGCGGAACUGGCAGACGCGUACGUCUCAGAAGCGUAUGACCUUAAAUAAGUCGUGGGAGUUCAAGUCUCCCCCGCGGCA